rnacentral:lncRNA from 1 species
GACGAGCCUCAUUUACUCCCUCAAAGGGUGGCAGUUGAGAGGAUGAAUAUUAAUUACUAUUUUUACAGUAUGGAUAAAAAAUCACGUUUUUACAGUCACUCUCUUUUUGCCCCUUCCCAAUCCCAUUCACCUUCAUAAUAUAAAUACUACAAUUCAAUUCAUCCUUCGCCUUCACUUCUCCAUCACUACACUACCAAAUUAAUUCGCAACAUGGCUCGUCGAAACACAGCUCUCUUGAGCGUCCUGCUUAUUAUCAAUGUCACCUUACUGUCUUUUGUAGCAGCCGAUCAACAACAG